rnacentral:rRNA from 1 species
GAUUAAGUUAUUAAGGGCGCACGGUGGAUGCCUUGGCACUAGAAGCCGAUGAAGGACGUUACUAACGACGAUAUGCUUUGGGGAGCUGUAAGUAAGCUUUGAUCCAGAGAUUUCCGAAUGGGGAAACCCAGCAUGAGUUAUGUCAUGUUAUCGAUAUGUGAAUACAUAGCAUAUCAGAAGGCACACCCGGAGAACUGAAACAUCUUAGUACCCGGAGGAAGAGAAAGAAAAUUCGAUUCCCUUAGUAGCGGCGAGCGAAACGGGAAGAGCCCAAACCAACAAGCUUGCUUGUUGGGGUUGUAGGACACUCUAUACGGAGUUACAAAGGACGACAUUAGACGAAUCAUCUGGAAAGAUGAAUCAAAGAAGGUAAUAAUCCUGUAGUCGAAAAUGUUGUCUCUCUUGAGUGGAUCCUGAGUACGACGGAGCACGUGAAAUUCCGUCGGAAUCUGGGAGGACCAUCUCCUAAGGCUAAAUACUCUCUAGUGACCGAUAGUGAACCAGUACCGUGAGGGAAAGGUGAAAAGCACCCCGGAAGGGGAGUGAAAUAGAACCUGAAACCGUGUGCUUACAAGUAGUCAGAGCCCGUUAAUGGGUGAUGGCGUGCCUUUUGUAGAAUGAACCGGCGAGUUACGAUUUGAUGCAAGGUUAAGCAGUAAAUGUGGAGCCGUAGCGAAAGCGAGUCUGAAUAGGGCGUUUAGUAUUUGGUCGUAGACCCGAAACCAGGUGAUCUACCCUUGGUCAGGUUGAAGUUCAGGUAACACUGAAUGGAGGACCGAACCGACUUACGUUGAAAAGUGAGCGGAUGAACUGAGGGUAGCGGAGAAAUUCCAAUCGAACCUGGAGAUAGCUGGUUCUCUCCGAAAUAGCUUUAGGGCUAGCCUCAAGUGAUGAUUAUUGGAGGUAGAGCACUGUUUGGACGAGGGGCCCCUCUCGGGUUACCGAAUUCAGACAAACUCCGAAUGCCAAUUAAUUUAA